AGUGAACGCUGGCGGCGUGCUUAACACAUGCAAGUCGAACGAGAACGGAUUAUAGCUUGCUAUAAUUGUCAGCUAAGUGGCGCACGGGUGAGUAAUGUAUAGAUAACCUGCCCUCUAGAAAGGAAUAACAGUUGGAAACGACUGCUAAUGCCCUAUAUGCCUUUAAUACAUAAGUAUGCAAGGGAAACGCUUUAGUGCUAGAGGAUGGGUCUGUAUGGUAUCAGCUUGUUGGUGAGGUAAUGGCUCACCAAGGCUAUGACGCCUAACUGGUUUGAGAGGAUGAUCAGUCACACUGGAACUGAGACACGGUCCAGACUCCUACGGGAGGCAGCAGUGGGGAAUAUUGCACAAUGGACGAAAGUCUGAUGCAGCAACGCCGCGUGGAGGAUGACACAUUUCGGUGCGUAAACUCCUUUUAUAUAGGAAGAUAAUGACGGUACUAUAUGAAUAAGCACCGGCUAACUCCGUGCCAGCCGCCGCGGUAA
rnacentral:rRNA from 1 species